UGGCUUUUCCCCUGCAGCUGGCUUCCCAUCGGCAGGUCCAUUAUGCUUCCUGCAGUGACAAAUACACUCCCCUGGAAAGCUGGUGAGGGUUUGUCUGCUGUUGCAGGUGUACCCCACUCAGGGGGCUGUCUGCUACCUGCCUAUCCCCUCCUUUCCAGAAUUCCUAGUCAAAUCUUCAGCCCCCAGUGGCCAGGACACCCUGAUUCGGAAAGGGCUGGCUGACCCGGAUCAAGAAGGCGGCUCCCCACAUGGGGGCCCACUGCCCCUGCCCCCCUGCCCGCCGCCCAGCCUCCUUCAUCUGGCUUGUGUGAUGUGCCUACUUUUCUAUGUGUAAAGUGACAUGAAACGCUGGGCAGCUGUGAUCCAGGCCACACAGGGAGGCAUCAUGUAUCAGGGUGAUGGCAAGAGUGUGGGCUUUGGCACGACAGCCCUGGAUUCAAAUUCUGGCACGGAGACUUCCUUGCUGGGUGACACCAGGCAAGCUAGUGUCUCUCUCCGACCUUCAGUGCCCCCUCCUCCAGGUAUGAAAACUAUGAUAAGAGCACCCGCCCUCUGGGAAGCGGGUAAGGACUCUGCCAGUCGUGUUCGUUUGCUGCUGAAAGGGUGACCUUUGCUGUACUUCUCUCAAUGCUGUCAGUUUAGGUAAAGCUCCGGCUCAGGGCGAAUGCUCCGGAAGCGAGGCUGUCUCAGUGAUCAGGGCGCUCCAGGACCAGCAGGGAUGACUGGUGACACCGCUGGACUGCCUGCCCCUGCUCUCCACACUGAAGAUGCAUUACCUCACUUGACUCUAUAAGCUCAUCAAAGCCCUGUGUAAGAAGUGCCGUUGCGGUCAUCGCCAUCACCUGCCAGGACGCAGCACAGCAUGGUGGUUUAAGCAAAUGUGUGAGCGCAGCAGCUGGAUGACCUGAAUUCAAGUUCUGACUCCACUGAUAUGUGACCUUGAACUCUGUGGUUAUGUGACCUUGCUUCACUGACUCCAUGUACAAGACAGGAGCAAACAUAUCUCCCUCGAGCAUUGAAGAUCAUAUGCAGAGUAAGAAGAACACUACCAGCCAUAAGGACACUUCAGUCAUAACAGUAGCUAUUGUCAGUUAUAAAGAAGGAUACAGAAGGUCAAGGUCAAGGUCACCUAGCUGUCCAGUGCAGCAGGGUUUUAUCUCUAAGUCUGCAGACUUCAAAUCUUGGGUUUGGGGAUUAUCUUCUCAUCUUCCCCACCCUGUCCCCCUUGUCACCCUGUCUCCUAAUUAAUCUGUUCACGCCUCUGUCUGUCCUUCCACAUGGGGCUCUUCCAGAGCAGUAUCAGCACCAAGCCGUCUCCCCAGUGCCCGGACGGUGCCUGGCCACCGGGGGACUGUGUUGAAGGAAUGAUGCAUUCCAUGUACCAGGCAUCCUGCUCUGUGCUUCCACAUGGAUUAUUUUAUCUGUGCCUCCAGACCACUCUAUGAAGUAGAUAACAAUUCUUCUACAACUGUCUUGAGCUCCAAUAAAGCACUUAUCGGUCUGGAUACAUGUGAAUACUUGAGAAUUCAUCACACCCAGCCAAGACGACAAAUGUUUCCACCCUCCGUCCCCAAAAUGUCCCAUGCUUCUUGGAAAUCCCUCCCUCCCUCCAAUUGUAGAUUUCUCUCCAGUUUUGAGAUAGGGAAGGAAAUCAAGGGACUGAGAAGUUAGACUUCCCAGAGACACUUGGUCAGCAAGUGGCCACGCCAGUAUUUGAACCAAGAUGACCUGUCCCCGGCCAAGCUGCCUUGGCGGUAAUGGGAAGAGGGUGGGAGCAUGUGGUGGUCUGUAGAGACGUCCUCCCUCCUCACCGCCCCUGCUCAUUCAGGCCCAAGAAGACAAUCUAGGAAGAGACGGUGGGUGCGUCUCUCAGAAGGGUGUGUGCACAUGUGAGGAGCAGGCUGCCACCCCAGAGGGAUGUUUGGGUACAAAGGGCAGACAACAAAGACAUCACAACGAGACCAGAUAAAGGUGUCCUCAAGCCAGGAGCCGGGCGAUGCGGUGAGCCUGCGGGCCUCAUGGUGGGUGCUGGGCUCGUGUGGGCGUGUGACUCUGUGACUGUGACCGUGUGACUGCUGAAGGCAGGGACAUAGCAGCUCCCAGAGCUAGGGGGGCGGAAGGCGUUAACUGUAUGAAUGCUGG